GACGAACGCUGGCGGCGUGCUUAACACAUGCAAGUCGAACGGAAAGGCCCCUUUGGGGGUACUCGAGUGGCGCACGGGUGAGUAACACGUGAGUAACCUGCCCUUGACUUCGGGAUAACUUCAGGAAACUGGGGCUAAUACCGGAUAGGAAUCCUUGCUGCAUGGUGGGGGUUGGAAAGCUUCGGCGGUUUUGGAUGGACUCGCGGCGUAUCAGCUUGUUGGUGGGGUAGUGGCUUACCAAGGCUUUGACGGGUAGCCGGCCUGAGAGGGCGACCGGCCACAUUGGGACUGAGAUACGGCCCAGACUCCUACGGGAGGCAGCAGUGGGGAAUAUUGCACAAUGGGCGGAAGCCUGAUGCAGCAACGCCGCGUGCGGGAUGACGGCCUUCGGGUUGGAAACCGCUUUCAGCAGGGGCGAAGCUUGUGGUGACGGUACCUGCAGAAGAAGCACCGGCUAACUACGUG
rnacentral:rRNA from 1 species